AUCAGUGGUAUAGCAGCCGCACACACCUUGCUGGAUUUAAACCUGUGGAUUUAUUCCCUGUGAGCGCCAGAGAUUGGUUAUGGUGUUGAGGUGGUGAUGGUGGGUGCGGUGAGCGGCGGGGGCAGCAGCGAGGGGCGCCGCCCCCGGGGUGCUGCCCCCCACAGCUCCAGCAGCAGCUCUAGAGCCCACAAGUCCCGUGGGACCCCUUUCCCCAGGCCCCUGGGACUCGCCACCCUCGUCCUCGUCUUGGCCGCCUUCGCCCGAGCUGAACAAGGUAAGCACCGUCAGUGUUCGCCCCGGUUCCUGCUGGGGCGCCCUCCCCGCCUUGUGUUAUACUUGUUUAAUUGCUUCGGCUGGCCGUCGUCGCGAGCGGCGUGCUUUCUCCUUGAGCCGCGGCCCCGCACGACGCCAGCCGCGUAUUGCAGCGACCUGUUGCAAAACAAUGUGUCGUUAGCGUCUUCCUGCGGCCGCCGAAUUUCGCUUGUGCUCAUGACUGUGAUAA